rnacentral:rRNA from 1 species
AUGAACGCUGGCGGCGUGCCUAAUACAUGCAAGCCGAGCGAACAGAUGAGGAGCUUGCUCCUCUGACGUUAGCGGCGGACGGGUGAGUAACACGUGGAUAACCUACCUAUAAGACUGGGAUAACUUCGGGAAACCGGAGCUAAUACCGGAUAAUAUAUUGAACCGCAUGGUUCAAUAGUGAAAGACGGUUUUGCUGUCACUUAUAGAUGGAUCCGCGCCGCAUUAGCUAGUUGGUAAGGUAACGGCUUACCAAGGCAACGAUGCGUAGCCGACCUGAGAGGGUGAUCGGCCACACUGGAACUGAGACACGGUCCAGACUCCUACGGGAGGCAGCAGUAGGGAAUCUUCCGCAAUGGGCGAAAGCCUGACGGAGCAACGCCGCGUGAGUGAUGAAGGUCUUCGGAUCGUAAAACUCUGUUAUUAGGGAAGAACAAAUGUGUAAGUAACUAUGCACGUCUUGACGGUACCUAAUCAGAAAGCCACGGCUAACUACGUG